GAGGGUCGGUCGGCGGUCGCCGGAGGUCUUCGGGCCUCCGGAGGAAAGUCCGGGCUCCACAGGGCAGGGCGCCGGGUAACACCCGGAGGGGGUAACCCCUGGAAAGUGCCACAGAAAAGAGACCGCCUCGGGCCUUGGCCCGGGGUAAGGGUGAAACGGUGGGGUAAGAGCCCACCGCUCCCUCCCGCAAGGGAGGGAGGCACGGCAAACCCCGCCCGGAGAAAGGCCGCAUAGGGGGGCGCUUGAGGGUGGCCCGCCCGAAGCCCCCGGGUAGGCCGCUAGAGCGGCCGGGCAACCGGCCGCCCAGAGGAAUGACCGCCGCCCGGAAGGCCGUAAGGCCUUCGGGUUACAGAACCCGGCUUAUGACCGGCCCUCUCCC
rnacentral:RNase_P_RNA from 1 species